GCGGGGAUAGCUCAGUUGGGAGAGCGUCAGACUGAAGUAAAACUUCAAUCCUUAGGUUAAUCUGAAGGUCGUGCGUUCGAUCCGCACUCACCGCA